UGAUGUGCUGGUUCUGGGGCAAGCGACACUGAGUUUUGGGGGACAAGAAAGCUGUGCCAUUGGGGUGGGAGGCAGGGGCCUGGAGAAGCAGGCUGUGCCCUGCUGGGAGGGGAGAGGGUGACCCUCCUGUGCCCUGGUUCAUGGAGUCCAAGGCCAGAAGGGCCCCUUGUAGUUAGUCUGACUUGCUGCAUGACACCAGUCCUAGCACUUCCCUGUAUUAAUUCCUGCUUUCCAGUCCAGUACCUGUGGCUGAACUAGAGCAGAGCUUUUGGAAAAACAUCCAGUCUGGAUUUAAAAAUGUCCAGUGAUGGAGAGUUCACCACAGCCCUUGGGUUCUCUGUGCAUCCAAGGAUCACAUCAGCCCUUUUGGCCACAGAGUUGCACUGGGAGCUCACGAUCAACCGAUUGUCCGUCAUGAUGACCACCCACCCCCCCAAGUCUUUUUCACAAUCACUGCUUGCCGGAGCUGGGUCCCCCAUCCUGUCAUUGAUGAAGAUUUUAAAUAACGUAGGGCCAAGAACUGAUCCCUGUGGGACCUAUUCAAAACUCAUCCGCUCAAUGAUUACUCAUGUAGAAUUAUAUUUUAAGAUCUAUCAGUUAGCCAGGUUAUUAAUAUGUGAUGUUAAUUCUGUAUUGUUCUAAUUUAUGAAUCAAGAAGUUAUGUGGUGCCUGUCGGUAGUCUAAGUAUAUUACCUAAACACUACUACCUUUAUCAGUCUUGUAAUCUCAUAAAAAACUAUAUCAAGUUAGUUUGACAAGACCUAUUUUCCAUAAACCCACGUUGAUUGGCAUGACAUUACCCUCUUUUAAGUCUGUAUUUUGCCUGGGCUAGAUCUCAGGCUGACAGGCCUACAAUUACUCAGAUCAUCCCAUUUAAA